UACGAAGGGGGCUAGCGUUGUUCGGAAUCACUGGGCGUAAAGGGCGCGUAGGCGGCCUGGCAAGUCGGGGGUGAAAGCCUGUGGCUCAACCACAGAAUGGCCUUCGAUACUGCUGGGCUUGAGACCGGAAGAGGUCAGUGGAACUGCGAGUGUAGAGGUGAAAUUCGUAGAUAUUCGCAAGAACACCAGUGGCGAAGGCGGCUGACUGGUCCGGUUCUGACGCUGAGGCGCGAAAGCGUGGGGAGCAAACAGG
rnacentral:rRNA from 1 species